rnacentral:rRNA from 1 species
UACGAAGGGGGCUAGCGUUGUUCGGAAUCACUGGGCGUAAAGGGCGCGUAGGCGGCUUUAUAAGUCGGGGGUGAAAGCCUGUGGCUCAACCACAGAAUUGCCUUCGAUACUGUAGAGCUUGAGACCGGAAGAGGUAAGUGGAACUGCGAGUGUAGAGGUGAAAUUCGUAGAUAUUCGCAAGAACACCAGUGGCGAAGGCGGCUCACUGGUCCGGUACUGACGCUGAGGUGCGAAAGCGUGGGUAGCGAACAGG